AGCCCCAGUAAACGGCGGCCGUAACUAUAACGGUCCUAAGGUAGCGAAAUUCCUUGUCGGGUAAGUUCCGACCCGCAUGAAAGGCGUAACGAUUUGGGCACUGUCUCAACGAGAGACUCGGUGAAAUCAUAGUACCUGUGAAGAUGCAGGUUACCCGCGACAGGACGGAAAGACCCCGUGGAGCUUUACUGUAGCCUGAUAUUGAAAUUCGGCACAGCUUGUACAGGAUAGGUAGGAGCCUUUGAAACGUGAGCGCUAGCUUACGUGGAGGCGCUGGUGGGAUACUACCCUAGCUGUGUUGGCUUUCUAACCCGCACCACUUAUCGUGGUGGGAGACAGUGUCAGGCGGGCAGUUUGACUGGGGCGGUCGCCUCCUAAGAGGUAACGGCGGCGCUCAAAGGUUCCCUCAGAAUGGUUGGAUAUCAUUCAUAGAGUGCAAAGGCAUAAGGGAGCUUGACUGCGCGA
rnacentral:rRNA from 1 species